rnacentral:rRNA from 1 species
GACGGAGGGUGCUAGCGUUGUUCGGAAUUACUGGGCGUAAAGCGCACGUAGGCGGCUUGUUAAGUCAGGGGUGAAAUCCUGGAGCUCAACUCCAGAACUGCCUUUGAUACUGGCGAGCUUGAGUCCGGGAGAGGUGAGUGGAACUGCGAGUGUAGAGGUGAAAUUCGUAGAUAUUCGCAAGAACACCAGUGGCGAAGGCGGCUCACUGGCCCGGUACUGACGCUGAGGUGCGAAAGCGUGGGGAGCAAACAGGG